AGAGUUUGAUCAUGGCUCAGAUUAAACGCUGGCGGCAUGCCUUACACAUGCAAGUCGAACGGCAGCGACGGGGGGCAACCCUGGUGGCGAGUGGCGAACGGGUGAGUAAAGCAUCGGAACGUGCCCUGGAGUGGGGGAUAACGUAGCGAAAGUUACGCUAAUACCGCAUAUUCUGUGAGCAGGAAAGCAGGGGAUCGCAAGACCUUGCGCUCUGGGAGCGGCCGAUGUCGGAUUAGCUAGUUGGUGGGGUAAAGGCCUACCAAGGCGACGAUCCGUAGCGGGUCUGAGAGGAUGAUCCGCCACACUGGGACUGAGACACGGCCCAGACUCCUACGGGAGGCAGCAGUGGGGAAUUUUGGACAAUGGGCGAAAGCCUGAUCCAGCCAUGCCGCGUGAGUGAAGAAGGCCUUCGGGUUGUAAAGCUCUUUCGGCCGGGAAGAAAUCGCAUGGGUUAAUACCCUGUGUGGAUGACGGUACCGGAAUAAGAAGCACCGGCUAACUACGUG
rnacentral:rRNA from 1 species